rnacentral:rRNA from 1 species
ACUCAAAUGAAUAGACGGGGACCCGCACAAGCGGUGGAGCAUGUGGUUUAAUUCGAGGCAACGCGAAGAACCUUACCAGGCCUUGACAUGUCCCUUUGGGGCUCCAGAGACGGAGCCUUUCGGUUCGGCCGGGGGGAACACAGGUGCUGCAUGGCUGUCGUCAGCUCGUGUCGUGAGAUGUUGGGUUAAGUCCCGCAACGAGCGCAACCCUCAUUCUUAGUUGCCAGCGGUUCGGCCGGGCACUCUAAGAGAACUGCCGGGGUUAACCCGGAGGAAGGUGGGGAUGACGUCAAGUCUUCAUGGCCCUUACGGCCUGGGCUACACACGUGCUACAAUGGCGGUGACAGAGGGACGCUACUGCGCGAGCAGAUGCCAAUCUCAAAAAACCGCCUCAGUUCAGAUUGCAGGCUGCAACUCGCCUGCAUGAAGUUGGAAUCGCUAGUAAUCGCGGAUCAGAACGCCGCGGUGAAUACGUUCCCGGGUCUUGCACACACCGCCCGU